CGCUCUCUGUGUGUGAUGCCGGUGGGGGGAACCGAACCUCUCAUCCCAGGGAUGCUGGUUCCCAUGCUAGGGAUGAGGGCUCCAGAGGGACACCGGACACAGAGAUGCUGAGCUGAGCGGAGCACAGGAGACUGACUUCAGAAACCCUCACUGGCCCCGUUCACCAUGCCGGUUGCUGCCACGAACUCUGAGUCUGCUAUGCAGCAAGUCUUGGACAACCUGGGAUCCCUGCCCAAUGCCACUGGGGCUGCGGAACUGGACCUGAUCUUCCUUCGAGGGAUAAUGGAAAGUCCGAUAGUCAGAUCCCUGGCCAAGGCCCACGAGCGGCUGGAGGAGACCAAGCUGGAGGCCGUUCGGGAUAACAACCUGGAGCUGGUGCAGGAGAUCCUUCGGGACCUGGCAGAGCUGGCAGAGC
rnacentral:lncRNA from 1 species